UAAUAAGUGUUUAUGGCACUUCUUAAAUCCAUAUCCACCUUGUGUGCAAUGUCAGCCGUUUUCUUUAUGAAAGCGGCCAAACAUCAACUUAUUUUUUAACCUGUCUGUCUGAAAACUAUUUAUUGAAUAAAACAAUUCAAAUACAA
rnacentral:misc_RNA from 1 species